GCACUUGGGAGAUGUUUGAUAAAGAACAAAGCCAGGCAUAUACCUGUAAUCCCAGCUACUUGGGCAGCCGAGGAGGAAGAAUCACAAGUUCAAGGGCAGCCUGGGUUAGAGAGAACCUGUCGGAGCUGACAAACAACCAGACUGAAGCCUUACUGAACACUCUCACAGGACCAACAUCGAGCUGGAUGCAGCGACACCAAGACGAGCGACAGAGCGGCAGAACCAUCUUGUGAAUAUCCCACCUGAGAAGUCUUGGGGCAGAAAUACACACACUUACAUAAGAAAUCAAACUUUGGAAAUGUACAACUUUGACAAGGCACAGCGAGCACACCUCUGCGACCCUGACCCAUGUAGACAAAGGAGAGCAAUGUCUCUGUGGCAAACUGAGUGACUUUUCCAAAGGCUUUUCCGGUGUCUACACCUUCUGCCACGUGACUGCCAUUCCUUCCACGGAGGCAGAAUACAUUCCCCACAGCACUAGCGCCCAGGCGUCCCCAUCUAUGGGUCCAAGGAGGGCGAGAGACAAAAGAAGCGGACUGAAGGAGCACCAAGCAGAGCAGAGUCCAGC